rnacentral:rRNA from 1 species
CAGCCGCCGCGGGAAUGCGUAGGUGGCAAGCGUUGUCCGGAAUUAUUGGGCGUAAAGCGCGCGCAGGUGGUUUAAUAAGUCUGAUGUGAAAGCCCACGGCUCAACCGUGGAGGGUCAUUGGAAACUGUUAAACUUGAGUGCAGGAGAGAAAAGUGGAAUUCCUAGUGUAGCGGUGAAAUGCGUAGAGAUUAGGAGGAACACCAGUGGCGAAGGCGGCUCUUUGGCCUGUAACUGACACUGAGGCGCGAAAGCGUGGGGAGCAAACAGGACUAGAUACCCCCGUAGUCCCUGUCUCUUAUAC